AACUAAGUUUGUUCCUGGUAUGAGCUUUCGUGUGCGUGCACAUGUGUAUCUGAAGAAGUGUGCAUGCACAUGAAAGCUCAUACCAAGAACAAACUUAGUUGG